GUUACAGACAGUGAGAGGGAGAGACAGAGAGAAAGGUCUUCCUUCCGUUGGUUCACUCCCCAGAUGGCCACAAUGGCUGGAGCUGCACUGAUCUGAAACUCAGGAGCCUCUUUCCGGUCUCCCAUGUGGGUACAGGGGCCCAAGGACUUGGGCCAUCUUCCACUGCUUUCCCAGGCCACAGCAGAGAGCUGCAUUGGAAGAGGAGCAGCCAGGACUAGAACCCUCACCCACAUGAGAUGCCAGGGCCGCAGGCGGAGGAUUAACCUACUGUGCCAAGGCACUGGCCCCGAUAUGUAUGGCUUUCAGUGAAUGGAUAAUAUGAACGUUCCCCAUGAGUUUUUGCCCACAAGUAAGAGGAGAAAAAUUGAAACUAAGGCACAACCCAGGAAAGUUAAUCCCGUGAGGGGCUCAGCCAACAUGAGCGAACUUCUGAAAUAAAAAAUAAAUACACAAAGCCUGGGAUUCCAGCGAAUGGGGCAUGGAAUGCCUAUUCUACCUACAUCAUUGCGCCCGGGGCCAGGCCUGAAUGAUGAAGACAGCUCGUUCCAAUGGAAGCGCAGAUGGGAUUGUUCCAAACAGGAGUCUGCCAGAACUCAGCAUCUCUGGUUUGAAAUGAUGGAUGUGUUUCAUCGCCGUGUAUGUGGUGCCUUGGCAACGCCGUGCACCAACAGCAGGCAGGCUGAGCGUGUCCUCGGGCAGGCUCUGUGCACGGACAGAGGACGACCGAACCGUGCCUGGGUAACAGCUUCAGCGCAGGAUUGCAGCUCUGGAUUGAAUUUUGAGCACAUGUGCAUUGCUCACUUUUGAAACGCUAAAAGCAAUGCAAGAGGCAGGACUUUGGAAAGUAAGUGAGCCCUCGAAACAUCCCAGCUUUGUUUGCCUUUUUGUUUUGUUUUUUCCUGUCCUCUAAGGUUCUGCUCCUAGCAGCAAAAUAUCUGAUUGAAAACUUCACAUGCCCAUUUUUCUCCUCAAUCUUGUUAAAGCAUAAAAUCUGUGGGAAGUCUCCACCAUCUGAAAGAGGGAGACAUUCUUCACAGUUUGGUUUUAUUUUAAAAUAAAGCUAUGACUUCAGUUUCUAAGCCUUUGUAAUAAAUUAACCAAAUAACAACUGUGUAUCAGCUUCUAACCAGCUUAGAACUGUACUGGGCUAAAAAGCAUAAUUAUCUAUUUUUGGUACUUAUUAAUUAUUAAUUAUCUGUUUUAUAUUCCCUCAAAUGAUGCUCUUACAGCAGAAGAGAAACUAAGGCAGUGGAUACAGUCAGAGAACUAAUGAACACUACUCUGUGUCAAAGUCCAAGGCCAAGUUCAAAGAAGGCUGGGCCAACAUGGGAAGGAGUGACCAGGGCUCAAUCUGGGGCUGCACAUUCAUUCUUCAAGCCCAAGAGGAGGAGGAGCUACGUGUGACACUGCCCCCAGCUCUUCUCCAAUCACAAACAUUGAGCCAGAUUCAAAGCGACUCCCCAGGUUUCAGUGUGGCUUCUUGCUUUCCAGCAGGUCCCUUUUAAAAUCUUCGCUUAAAAUGCCGGGCCUGAACGAGGAGCAAGGAAACUUCGCCCGUGCCCAAGAGCCCGAUGCCUGCACACAACCAGCAUCGUCAGCUCCCAAGCUCAUCAUCUCACGCUCGGAGUCUUCCAGCACAUUCUCCCAUUCUUGCUUUUAAUCCCGCCUUGGCGACCUUCCACGCACACAUCAUCUUCCACGAGAAGAACCAGGCACGUUUCUCAUCAGCAGUAAUCCUGCUGUCAGCCAGGUGUGCAGCUGCAGAGUGCACAGACAGCGGGAUGGGGCGAGUGGCCCAGGAGGUGAAUGUGUGCAGAGAAAUGACAGCGCAGCCUGUGACACAGCUCCGGCCACCUCAUGAGUGCAAGGCCUGUUCGACUCAAAGCAGCCUUGCAAAGUGCGGGGUUUGUGUCCCUGCACGCAAACUCGCGAAGGCCCUCACCACAAGCACACACCCCUCGCAGACACAGCACACACCUGCUGGCUAGCCAUGCCCGUGGUGAGGAAACAACAGCUGUAGUCCUUAGGACUAUGGUCUUGGUUGAAUUUGCACUUCGUCAAAGCCGGAACAAUCAACCAAGAAAGAAUUCCUACUAUUUUUCCAAGUGAAAUGCUACCGUUUACACAAUAUGUCAUGAUCACUUAAAUUUUUUUUUCUAAUUUUAAACUUGAGAUUUGCAAAAAAGUUGCAAACCUAAUAGAGUUCUCCAAUAUUCUUCAUCCUGUCGCACGAAGGAUCAUAGUAUAAGCAUCAAGGUUAGGGAAUUAACAUUGGCACAUUACUAAAAUGACAGAUCUUCCUGGAAUUUCACCAUUUUCCUUAUUCACACCCCCUUUUCUGUUCUAGGAUCCUACCCAGGACCCCCACGUUUCACUUAGGGGUCGUGGUUGCAACUGCUACAAGGAAACCAGCAAGCCCUGAGAUUACCAAAACAACAUGCAAGCAGUGCAGGGGCCGCCAGUGCCUCAGUCUCCCAGAACCACUGAGGCCCCUUGAUGACCCAGGGGAAGAAACUGGACAACACCUGUGAGUUACAGAAUGGAUAAGGAAAUCCUGACGCAGAAAUGGUAAUCAAGUACAAGGCCGGAGAGUAAGUGACGAAGCUGUGAAUUCAACCGAGGCGUGGUCUCCAGGCUUAGUAGCUGCUCCAGAGUGAAGCUGGUCUUUCUAACAGUGGUGAGGGGUGUUGCUGUGAAGGUAUUAUGCUGAUGGGAGUCAAGUCCAAAAUCAAAAAUUGACAUUACGAAAGAGAGGUGAUCAUCAAUUAUCUGGAUGAACCCGAUUCAAACAGUUGCAAGGCCCUAAAAGCAGAGUUGAGCCUUCUCUGAAGAAGAAGAAAGUUUAUUUGUGGACAGCAGAGUCUUCUCCGUCCACAGUCCUGGCUUACUUCAAGAUGUCAGAGCCGGGUGGUGGAUUGUGACCUGCAGUCUUCAGGUGUCCCUUGGGGGUCUCCUGGGGAUCUUGCUGCUCGCUGCACAGGUGUUCACGGGCCUCACCGUCCCUCCCAGCCCUGCCACUUCCCUCCAUGACAUUCCCACCACGGCAGAGCGUGAGUCCAUGGGUGUCGGACUUGACUGGCCUUCUGUUUUGUCAGCUUUCCCUCCGAUGAGGAAUUUACAGGUAAAGAAGAAUUCCCAAUGGAUCUGGGCUUCCUUGAGGAUCAUCUCUGUUGUUGAUUCAUCUAAAUGAAAUUCAAGUCUCAUUUCAAACGCCUUGGACAGUCAUGUGGGAUAUUGCUGUAGGAAACCUUGAAACAGCUGAUGCAGUACGUGUAACAGGAAAGUGUCUCUAAGUUCUGCUUUUCUGUCACUGCUCAUAUAGCUGCUCGAAUCUCAAAUUUGCUGCUUCCUGCUGUCUUACAUUUCAUGACCAUCAUAUCUUCCCACCCCCACUGCCCACUGCCACACCUAAAUCUUACACUUGUCACAUCUUCAUGUGGGAUUACACAACUUUUUUCUUUCGAGACAGCACCUGUAAGUUAGUAUUGAGUACCCUUUUAUUUCAUCAAUUACUACUACCAUUUAUUGAUCUUAAAUAUUUUAUUCAUUUGAAGGGGAGAAAGAAGCAAGGCGGCGGGGGGGAGGGGACUCCCAUUGGCUGUUUUUUUCUCCAAAUGUCUGAAAUGCAUAGAAGACUGGGCCAUUGAUCCAGUAAUCCUACUCCUGCACAGUUAAUCAAGAGAAAUGAAGUCCAUCUGUCAAAGAGACAUCUACACUCCCCUCUUUAUUCCAGAAUCAUUCACAUUACUUACCAAAUGGAAGCAAUCUAAGUGUCCAUCCACCAAUGAAUGGAGAGAGAAAAUGUGAUACCCAUAUACACAAUGAAAUGUUACCCACCCAUAAAAAUGAUCAGAUCUUGUCAUUUCCAACAAUGUAGAUAGAACUAGAGGGCACUAUGAUAAGUGAAAUAAGUUAAUACAGAAAGGUAAGCAUCAUUUGAUACAUGUGGAGUCUUGAAAAAUAGGUGAUAUCAUAGAAGUUAAAAAUGUAAUGGUGGUUAUAGAAACUGAGGAGGGAGAGGUGGGGAAACAUUGAUUGAUAGGUACUGGGUUCUAGGUAAGUAGUAGUGAGAAGUUCUGGGGUAUUAUCACAUGAUAGGAUGAUUAUGGGUAAUGUUAAUGUGUAUUUCUCUAUUUAAAAACUCUAGAAGACAGCCGGCGCCGUGGCUCAAUAGGCUAAUCCUCCACCUUGCGGCGCCGGCACACCGGGUUCUAGUCCCGGUUGGGGCGCCGGAUUCUGUCCCGGUUGCCCCUCUUCCAGGCCAGCUCUCUGCUAUGGCCAGGGAGUGCAGUGGAGGAUGGCCCAGGUGCUUGGGCCCUGCACCCCAUGGGAGACCAGGAAAAAGCACCUGGCUCCUGGCUCCUGCCAGGAUCAGCGCGGUGCGCCGGCUGCAGCGGCGGCCAUUGGAGGGUGAACCAACGGCAAAGGAAGACCUUUCUCUCUCUCUCUCUCUCACUGUCCACUCUGCCUGUCAAAAAAAAAAAAAAAAAAAAAAAAAAAAAAAAAAAACUCUAGAAGAUGGGGGGGGGCACCAGACUAAUUGCUCGCCCCUACUAGUUACUCAUUUUUUCAUACCUUCAUUCAGCAAUAAUUGAGUACUUACCAUGUGCCAGGCACCACGAUCUCACAGGUCCUGAAGAUACAAAACAAAGAACUCUUACAGAGCUGGCAUUUAGGUGGGUUGGCAGUGGAGACGGUGGGGGAGUGGCAAAGACAAUAUACAAGUAAACAAGUGAGCAAGGUGAUGUGACAGGAGGAGUGCUUUGAGGCAUUUCGCUGUCCUGGACCAGUUCUGAGUAGAAUAUGAUGCUGAGUGCUUAAUAUAUUUGUAUCUGUCAAGAGCAUGUUCUUAAAAUAAAAUCUUAAAAAAAAAAAGGGGCCGGCGAGGUGGCGCAGUAGGUUAAUCCUCCAACUGCGGCGUUGGCAUCCCAUAUGGCUGCCGGUUCUAGUCCGGGCUGCUCCUCUUCCAAUCCAGCUCUCUGCUGUAGCCUGGGAAAGCAGUGGAAGAUGGUACUGGGUUCUAGGUAAGUAGUAGUGAAGAUGGGGGGGAACCCACCAGACUAAUUGUCCUUGGGCCCCUGCACCCAAGUGGGAGACUGGAAGAAGCUCCUGGAUCCUGGCUUUGGAUUGGCACAGCUCCGACCAUUGUGGCCAUUUGGGGAGUGAUCCAAUGGACAGAAGACCUUUCUCUCUGUCUCUCCCUCUCACUGUCUGUAACUCUAUCUCUCAAAUAAAUAAAAUAAAAUCUUAAAAAAAAAAAAAAGAGCAUGUCCUAAGCAAGAACAAGUGACCCUGGCCGACUGGCAGGAAAGGAAACUCUGGCAGGCUAUUGGCAGCUUAACUGCACUAUCUGGAAGGCUCAGGAAAUAGACAGGAACAAGGUGGUGAGGGAGGGAGCAGAGCCUCGCUCUCACACGUGAUGAGUGUGCAGAGCAGCACGUGUCUCCCACAGUGCUGCAGGCCAGGAAGAUGGAUGGGGCCGGCAUCAAUGAAAGCCCUCCACGCUCCCUCAAUGAUCUCUGAGUCUGUGACACAAUCCCUGAAGGCUCAAAGUGCAACAGCAGACUUGAAAGAGCUGCUCCGGGGACAGGCCUGUGCCUGGCUGCCCUCCGGAGUGCUUGCAUCCCCCCAGACCAGCCGUGUUGGUCAGGUGCUGGGUGCUUACAAGGAAUGAAGCUGUGUCCAGACUGCCCAAGCCAUACACCCUGUGAUGGUGGUUCCAAAAUGUAGCUACAGACUCUAUGACAUCCUUUCUUUCAAGAGGUAGAGCCACCCCAGGUGAGCGUGGGCUGCGUUUGGUGACUUGUGCUUGUUGAAUGUCAUGGGGCAGAGGGUGCACCAUUUCUGAGAGGAAGAGAUCAAAGACAGUGUGGCUUCCUCCUUGCACUUUCUCUGGGUUUGCUUGCUCUUGGAGAAGCCAGCUGCCUUGCUGAGAGGAUGCCCAAGCAGCCUUGUCAACAGCACAGGAGGGGCACCCUGUAGGAGGAGGGUGUUUGGGCUCCGGUCACGGCUUCACGGGGCUGCGACUAUAACCUUAUGAGUGAUCCUGAAUCCCAAGCACCCAGACAAGCUGCGCUUGGAUUCCUGGCUUUCAGAAAUUGUGAGAUGAGAGUUACCCUAAACUUGAGGGCAACUUCUUACUCAGCGGUAGAUAACUGAAAAGUGUGCCCUUCUUUGCAUAGCUACAGUUCCUUUAAAAACAGAAAAAAAAAUGAAUGUUCGCUGCUUAUAUAAAACAGCUGUUGAUCAUACAGCCAAAA